rnacentral:rRNA from 1 species
AUACGUAGGGUGCGAGCGUUGUCCGGAAUUACUGGGCGUAAAGAGCUCGUAGGUGGUUUGUCGCGUCGUCUGUGAAAUUCCGGGGCUUAACUCCGGGCGUGCAGGCGAUACGGGCAUAACUUGAGUACUGUAGGGGGGACUGGAAUUCCUGGUGUAGCGGUGAAAUGCGCAGAUAUCAGGAGGAACACCGGUGGCGAAGGGGGGUCUCUGGGCAGUAACGGACGCUGAGGAGCGAAAGCAUGGGUAGCGAACAGGAUUAGAUACCCUGGUAGUCCAUGCCGUAAACGGUGGGCGCUAGGUGUAGGGGUCUUCCACGACUUCUGUGCCGUAGCUAACGCAUUAAGCGCCCCGCCUGGGGAGUACGGCCGCAAGGCUAAAACUCAAAGGAAUUGACGGGG